GCUUGGUUGAUCUAGUGGCAAGAUUCACGCUUCCCAAGCGUGCCACCCGGGUUCGAUUCCCGGACCUAGCA